GUGGGGAAUAUUGGACAAUGGGCGAAAGCCUGAUCCAGCCAUGCCGCGUGUGUGAAGAAGGUCUUCGGAUUGUAAAGCACUUUAAGUUGGGAGGAAGGGCAGUAAGUUAAUACCUUGCUGUUUUGACGUUACCAACAGAAUAAGCACCGGCUAACUUCGUGCCAGCAGCCGCGGUAAUACGAAGGGUGCAAGCGUUAAUCGGAAUUACUGGGCGUAAAGCGCGCGUAGGUGGUUCAGCAAGUUGGAGGUGAAAUCCCCGGGCUCAACCUGGGAACUGCCUCCAAAACUACUGAGCUAGAGUACGGUAGAGGGUAGUGGAAUUUCCUGUGUAGCGGUGAAAUGCGUAGAUAUAGGAAGGAACACCAGUGGCGAAGGCGACUACCUGGACUGAUACUGACACUGAGGCGCGAAAGCGUGGGGAGCAAACAGGAUUAGAUACCCUGGUAGUCC
rnacentral:rRNA from 1 species